GAUGAACGCUAGCGGGAGGCCUAACACAUGCAAGCCGAGCGGUAUUGUUUCUUCGGAAAUGAGAGAGCGGCGUACGGGUGCGGAACACGUGUGCAACCUGCCUUUAUCUGGGGGAUAGCCUUUCGAAAGGAAGAUUAAUACUCCAUAAUAUAUUGAACGGCAUCGUUUAAUAUUGAAAGCUCCGGCGGAUAGAGAUGGGCACGCGCAAGAUUAGCUAGUUGGUGAGGUAACGGCUCACCAAGGCGAUGAUCUUUAGGGGGCCUGAGAGGGUGAUCCCCCACACUGGUACUGAGACACGGACCAGACUCCUACGGGAGGCAGCAGUGAGGAAUAUUGGUCAAUGGGUGCAAGCCUGAACCAGCCAUCCCGAGUGAAGGACGACUGCCCUAUGGGUUGUAAACUUCUUUUGUAUAGGGAUAAACCUACCCUCGUGAGGGUAGCUGAAGGUACUAUACGAAUAAGCACCGGCUAACUCCGUGCCAGCAGCCGCGGUAAUACGGAGGGUGCAAGCGUUAUCCGGAUUUAUUGGGUUUAAAGGGUCCGUAGGCGGACUUAUAAGUCAGUGGUGAAAGCCUGUCGCUUAACGAUAGAACUGCCAUUGAUACUGUAAGUCUUGAGUAUAUUUGAGGUAGCUGGAAUAAGUAGUGUAGCGGUGAAAUGCAUAGAUAUUACUUAGAACACCAAUUGCGAAGGCAGGUUACCAAGAUAUAACUGACGCUGAGGGACGAAAGCGUGGGGAGCGAACAGGAUUAGAUACCCUGGUAGUCCACGCCGUAAACGAUGCUAACUCGUUUUUGGGCUUUAGGGUUCAGAGACCAAGCGAAAGUGAUAAGUUAGCCACCUGGGGGGUACGCUCGCAGGAGUGAAACUCAAAGGAAUUGACGGGGGCCCGCACAAGCGGUGGAUUAUGUGGUUUAAUUCGAUGAUACGCGAGGAACCUUACCAAGACUUAAAUGGGAAUUGACAGCUUUAGAAAUAGAGCUUUCUUCGGACAAUUUUCAAGGUGCUGCAUGGUUGUCGUCAGCUCGUGCCGUGAGGUGUUAGGUUAAGUCCUGCAACGAGCGCAACCCCUGUCACUAGUUGCCAUCAUUCAGUUGGGGACUCUAGUGAGACUGCCUACGCAAGUAGAGAGGAAGGUGGGGAUGACGUCAAAUCAUCACGGCCCUUACGUCUUGGGCCACACACGUAAUACAAUGGCCGGUACAGAGGGCAGCUACACAGCGAUGUGAUGCAAAUCUCGAAAGCCGGUCUCAGUUCGGAUUGGAGUCUGCAACUCGACUCUAUGAAGCUGGAAUCGCUAGUAAUCGCGCAUCAGCCAUGGCGCGGUGAAUACGUUCCCGGGCCU
rnacentral:rRNA from 1 species